UGUGCAGGCGGUUGCUUAAGUUUGGUGUGAAAUCUCCCGGCUCAACUGGGAGGGUGCGCCGAAUACUGAGUGACUCGAGUGCGGGAGAGGAAAGUGGAAUUCCUGGUGUAGCGGUGAAAUGCGUAGAUAUCAGGAGGAACACCGGUGGUGUAGACGGCUUUCUGGACCGUAACUGACGCUGAGACACGAAAGCGUGGGUAGCAAACAGGAUUAGAUACCCUGGCAGUCCACGCCCUAAACGAUGCAUAUUUGGUGUGGGUCAUUCAGUUGAUCCGUGCCGGAGCUAACGCGUUAAAUAUGCCGCCUGGGGAGUACAGUCGCAAGGCUGAA
rnacentral:rRNA from 1 species